rnacentral:rRNA from 1 species
AUUGAACGCUGGCGGCAGGCCUAACACAUGCAAGUCGAGCGGAUGAAGGGAGCUUGCUCCUGGAUUCAGCGGCGGACGGGUGAGUAAUGCCUAGGAAUCUGCCUGGUAGUGGGGGAUAACGUCCGGAAACGGGCGCUAAUACCGCAUACGUCCUGAGGGAGAAAGUGGGGGAUCUUCGGACCUCACGCUAUCAGAUGAGCCUAGGUCGGAUUAGCUAGUUGGUGGGGUAAAGGCCUACCAAGGCGACGAUCCGUAACUGGUCUGAGAGGAUGAUCAGUCACACUGGAAAUGAGACACGGUCCAGAAUACUACGGGAGGCAGCAGUGGGGAAUAUUGGAAAAUGGGCGAAAGCCUGAUCCAGCCAUGCCGCGUGUGUGAAGAAGGUCUUCGGAUUGUAAAGCACUUUAAGUUGGGAGGAAGGGCAGUAAGUUAAUACCUUGCUGGUUUGACGUUACCAACAGAAUAAGCACCGGCUAACUUCGUG